rnacentral:misc_RNA from 1 species
AGUCGUAACAAGGUUUCCGUAGGUGAACCUGCGGAAGGAUCAUUACCGAGUGAGGGCCCUCUGGGUCCAACCUCCCACCCGUGUUUAUUUACCUUGUUGCUUCGGCGGGCCCGCCUUAACUGGCCGCCGGGGGGCUCACGCCCCCGGGCCCGCGCCCGCCGAAGACACCCUCGAACUCUGUCUGAAGAUUGUAGUCUGAGUAUAAAUAUAAAUUAUUUAAAACUUUCAACAACGGAUCUCUUGGUUCCGGCAUCGAUGAAGAACGCAGCGAAAUGCGAUACGUAAUGUGAAUUGCAAAUUCAGUGAAUCAUCGAGUCUUUGAACGCACAUUGCGCCCCCUGGUAUUCCGGGGGGCAUGCCUGUCCGAGCGUCAUUUCUGCCCUCAAGCACGGCUUGUGUGUUGGGCCCCGUCCUCCGAUUCCGGGGGACGGGCCCGAAAGGCAGCGGCGGCACCGAGUCCGGUCCUCGAGCGUAUGGGGCUUUGUCACCCGCUCUGUAGGCCCGGCCGGCGCUUGCCGAUCAACCCAAAUUUUUAUCCAGGUUGACCUCGGAUCAGGUAGGGAUACCCGCUGAACUUAAGCAUAUCAAUAAGCGGAGGAA